AGAGUUUGAUCCUGGCUCAGGACGAACGCUGGCGGCGCGCCUAACACAUGCAAGUCGAACGAGCGAGAGAGAGUUUACUUUUUCGAGCGAGUGGCGAACGGGUGAGUAACGCGUGAGGAACCUGCCUCAAAGAGGGGGACAACAGUUGGAAACGACUGCUAAUACCGCAUAAGCCCACGACCCGGCAUCGGGUAGAGGGAAAAGGAGCAAUCCGCUUUGAGAUGGCCUCGCGUCCGAUUAGCUAGUUGGUGAGGUAAUGGCCCACCAAGGCGACGAUCGGUAGCCGGACUGAGAGGUUGAACGGCCACAUUGGGACUGAGACACGGCCCAGACUCCUACGGGAGGCAGCAGUGGGGAAUAUUGCACAAUGGGGGAAACCCUGAUGCAGCGACGCCGCGUGGAGGAAGAAGGUCUUCGGAUUGUAAACUCCUGUUGUUGAGGAAGAUAAUGACGGUACUCAACAAGGAAGUGACGGCUAACUACGUGCCAGCAGCCGCGGU
rnacentral:rRNA from 1 species